rnacentral:tRNA from 1 species
GGGCCUAUAGCUCAGUUGGUUAGAGCGCACGCCUGAUAAGCGUGAGGUCGGAAGUUCAAAUCUUCCUAGGCCCACCA